GUUGUAUAGUUAAGUGACUAAGCGUACAAGGUGGAUGCCUUGGCAAUCAGAGGCGAGGAAGGACGUGCUAAUCUGCGAAAAGCUUGGAUGAGUCGAUAAGAGGCGUUUAAUCCAAGAUGUCCGAAUGGGGAAACCCAGUAGAUGAAGAAUCUACUAU
rnacentral:rRNA from 1 species